rnacentral:rRNA from 1 species
UACUCCUACGGGAGGCAGCAGUGGGGAAUAUUGCACAAUGGGCGCAAGCCUGAUCCAGCCAUGCCGCGUGUGUGAAGAAGGCCUUCGGGUUGUAAAGCACUUUUAUCGGGAAGGAAAUCCUUCCGGUUAAUACCCGGCGGGAUUGACUUAC